UCCUGCCGGACCUGACUGCUAUCGGAUUGAUACUAAGCCAUGCGAGUCUUUGUAGUAAUACAAGGCAGACGGCUCAGUAACACGUAGUCAACCUACCCUAUGGACAAGAAUAAUCUCGGGAAACUGGGCAUAAUUCUUGAUAGAUCAUAAUGCCUGGAAUGGUUUAUGGUUAAAAUGAUUCGUCGCCAUAGGAUGGGACUGCGGCCUAUCAGCUUGUUGGUGAGGUAAUGGCCCACCAAGGCGAUUACAGGUACGGGCUCUGAGAGGAGAAGCCCGGAGAUGGGUACUGAGACACGGACCCAGGCCCUAUGGGGCGCAGCAGGCGAGAAAACUUUGCAAUGUGCGAAAGCACGACAAGGUUAAUCCGAGUGAUUUCUGCUAAAGAAAUCUUUUGCCAGUCAUAAAACCACUGGUGAAUAAGGGGUGGGCAAGUUCUGGUGUCAGCCGCCGCGGUAAAACCAGCACCUCAAGUGGUCAGGAUGAUUAUUGGGCCUAAAGCAUCCGUAGCCGGCUUUGUUAGUUUUCGGUUAAAUCCAUGUGCUCAACGCAUGGGCUGCCGAAAAUACUGCAUAGCUAGGGAGUGGGAGAGGUAGACGGUACUCAGUAGGAAGGGGUAAAAUCCUUUGAUCUAUUGAUGACCACCUGUGGCGAAGGCGGUCUACCAGAACACGUUCGACGGUGAGGGAUGAAAGCUGGGGGAGCAAACCGGAUUAGAUACCCGGGUAGUCCCAGCUGUAAACGAUGCAGACUCGAUGAUGCAUUGGCAUAAUAGCCAGUGCAGUGUCGCAGGGAAGCCGUUAAGUCUGCCGCCUGGGAAGUACGUACGCAAGUAUGAAACUUAAAGGAUUGGUGGGGAGCACACAAGGGUGAAGCCUGCGGUUCAAU
rnacentral:rRNA from 1 species